rnacentral:rRNA from 1 species
AUUGAACGCUGGCGGCAUGCUUUACACAUGCAAGUCGAACGGUAACAGGCCGCAAGGUGCUGACGAGUGGCGAACGGGUGAGUAAUGCAUCGGAACGUGCCCAGUCGUGUGGGAUAACUACUCGAAAGAGUAGCUAAUACCGCAUACGAUCUAUGGAUGAAAGCGGGGGACCGUAAGGCCUCGCGCGAUUGGAGCGGCCGAUGUCAGAUUAGGUAGUUGGUGGGGUAAAGGCUCACCAAGCCAACGAUCUGUAGCUGGUCUGAGAGGACGACCAGCCACACUGGAACUGAGACACGGCCCAGACUCCUACGGGAGGCAGCAGUGGGGAAUUUUGGACAAUGGGCGAAAGCCUGAUCCAGCAAUGCCACGUGCAGGAAGAAGGCCUUCGGGUUGUAAACUGCUUUUGUACGGAACGAAACGGCUCUGGUUAAUACCCGGGGAUAAUGACGGUACCGUAAGAAUAAGCACCGGCUAACUACGUG